rnacentral:rRNA from 1 species
CGCCUUGCCAGCCCGACUCAGAACUUAAAGGAAGUUGACGGGGGCCCGGCACAAGCGGUGGAGUAUGUGGUUAAUUCGAUGCAACGCGAAGAACCUUACCUGGUCUUGACAUCCCGGAGACCCUUAGGAAACUAGGGGUGCUUCCAUCUGGAAGAAUCUGGAGACAGGUGCUGCAUGGCUGUCGUCAGCUCGUGUCGUGAGAUGUUGGGUUAAGUCCCGCAACGAGCGCAACCCUUGCCUUUAGUUGCCAGCAGUUCGGCUGGGCACUCUAAAGGGACUGCCGGUGUUAAACCGGAGGAAGGUGGGGAUGACGUCAAGUCCUCAUGGCCUUUAUGACCAGGGCUACACACGUACUACAAUGGCCGAUACAAAGGGCAGCGACACUGCGAGGUGAAGCCAAUCCCGUAAAAUCGGUCUCAGUCCGGAUUGGAGUCUGCAACUCGACUCCAUGAAGUUGGAAUCGCUAGUAAUCGUGGAUCAGCAUGCCACGGUGAAUACGUUCCCGGGCCUU